UCUCACUUGAACUUGAGAGGGGGGGAAGUGCUGGUCUGCUCUUCACACGUGCCAUCACGAGGCUGCAGUGUGCUGGUCGGCGUCUAUCCGCUGCAGUUACAACGCGGCAGGGGUGCAGAUGUUGUCUACGUUGACCGAGGUGGAGGCGUUGGCGAUCAUGUUCUCUCUCCUGGUGUUCGCCCUCUUCACGCUCACUGGGAUGCUCACCGAGGAUUAUUCACGCCGCGAUGAGAAGAGUCAACCACAGAACAAGGAAGUGGUCGUCUGAAGAGAUUCACCAAAAUGAAAAACAUCCGCAGGGCCGCAGCGGCCUCCGUCUUCCUGUCGGUCCCGAUGAGGACGAGUCGGCUGAAAGCCCCGUGUGAGUGUGUGUUAUCAGUCACCAGGGCAAAGUCGAACGGGGGACUUGUGAACGUGUGUGUGUGUGUGUACCUUGUCAUACGAUCCACUCUGGCUUCCAGGAUGUGGCGCAAAGGAGCGGCCAAGAUUGUACUGUAAAAUAAAUAAGUCAAUAAAUAAGCGGCUGCUUCGACAGACCGUUUAAAGACGGAAUCCCACGCCUGCUUUCUUUUCUCUUUGAGAGCGUGUGUGUGUGUGUGUGUGUGAGAGAGAACACAGAGGAGCACUUUUUGUUUUGGUCUUCAGAUGUGAAAAUAGCUUCCUCCGAAUUCUUC